rnacentral:lncRNA from 1 species
CUCUAUCAUUAAUACCAAAAAAGUUAUGCAAAAUUUACGAUCUUAUAAAGUACAUGUUAAUAAUAAAAGUGCGAAAUUUCGAUUUUUUUUCAAAAACUACAAUUCUUUUAGUUUUCUAUUAUUACGUACAAGGUGCCCCUUUGCAAGGAGUACAUGACAGUUUUUAAAUGAAGGCUCUAUCAUUAAUACCAAAAAAGUUAUGCAAAAUUUACGAUCUUAUAAAGUACAUGUUAAUGGUAAAAGUGCGAAAUUUCGAUUUUUUUCAAAAACUGCAAUUCUUUUAGUUUUUUAUUAUUACGUACAAGGUGCCCCUUUGCAUGGAGUACUUGACAGUUUUUAAAUGAAGGCUCUAUCUUUAAUACCAAAAAAGUUAUGCAAAAUUUACGAUCUUAUAAAGUACAUGUUAAUAGUAAAAAACCGAAAUUUCGAUUUUUUUCAAAAACUGCAAUUCUUUUAGUUUUUUAUUAUUACGUACAAGGUGCCCCUUUGCAUGGAGUACUUGACAGUUUUUAAAUGAAGGCUCUAUCUUUAAUACCAAAAAAGUUAUGCAAAAUUUACGAUCUUAUAAAGUACAUGUUAAUAGUAAAAAACCAAAAUUUCGAUUUUUUUCAAAAACUGCAAUUCUUUUAGUUUUUUAUUAUUACGUACAAGGUGCCCCUUUGCAUGGAGUACUUGACAGUUUUUAAAUGAAGGCUCUAUCUUUAAUACCAAAAAAGUUAUGCAAAAUUUACGAUCUUAUAAAGUACAUGUUAAUAGUAAAAAACCGAAAUUUCGAUUUUUUUCAAAAACUGCAAUUCUUUUAGUUUUCUAUUAUUACGUACAAGGUGCCCCUUUGCCAGAAGAACUUGACAGUUUUUAAAUGAAAGCUCUAUCUUUAAUAACAAAGAAGUUAUGCAAAAUUUUCGAUCUAAAAAAGUACAUAUUAAUUGUAAAAAAUCGAAAUUUCGAUUUUUCUCAAAAACUAUAAUUUUUUCAGUUUUUGAUAAUUACG